GGCCCACAGUCUACUUCGAGAAACUCUAGGAACCACGAGAAGCUCUGAAUUCUGGGAGCGUAGUGCUCUAGUGGU